CAUACCUUUCUCGGCCUUUUGGCUAAGAUCAAGUGUAGUAUCUGUUCUUAUCAGUUUAAUAUCUGAUAUGUGAGUCAUUGACUCACACGAUAUUAACUCUAUUUUUUUAGGGGAAGGUUCAUCAUGGUAGCUUGCUAUCGGGAUCUUCAAGUGUCGCCUAGGUGUUGCACUAUUGCCUUGGCCUGGCACACCCCAC
rnacentral:snRNA from 1 species